ensembl:snRNA U6 U6 spliceosomal RNA
GUGCUUAUUUUAGCAGCACAUAUACUAAAAUUGGAACGAUGCAGAGAAGAUUAGCAUGGCCUCUGUGCAAGGAAGACACUCAAAUCUGUGAAGCAUUCCAUAUUAAA